rnacentral:rRNA from 1 species
AUACGGGGGGAGCAAGCGUUGUUCGGAAUUACUGGGCGUAAAGGGCGCGUAGGCGGCCUUGUAAGUCGAGUGUGAAAUGUCGGAGCUCAACUCCGUGCACUGCAUUCGAUACUGCUUGGCUAGAGAAAGGUAGAGGCGAGCGGAAUUCCCGGUGUAGCGGUGGAAUGCGUAGAUAUCGGGAAGAACAUCUGCGGCGAAGGCGGCUCGCUGGGCCUUUUCUGACGCUGAAGCGCGAAAGCGUGGGGAGCAAACAGGAUUAGAAACCCCAGUAGUCC